rnacentral:tRNA from 1 species
UAGCUCAGUUGGUAGAGUGUUUGCCUCACAUGCAACAAGGCCCUGGGUUGAAUCCCCAG